rnacentral:rRNA from 1 species
CACUAUGCUUUGCCCUAAACAUUGAUAGUCCCCUACAACCACUAUCCGCCCGGGAACUACGAGCAGCAGCUUAAAACCCAAAGGACUUGGCGGUGCUUUAGAUCCACCUAGAGGAGCCUGUUCUAAAACCGAUAACCCCCGUUCAACCUCACCUUUCCUUGUUCUCCCCGCCUAUAUACCGCCGUCGUCAGCUUACCCUAUGAAGGCCCCUUAGUAAGCACAAUUGGCACAGCCCAAAACGUCAGGUCGAGGUGUAGCGUAUGGAAAGGGAAGAAAUGGGCUACAUUCCCUACAAUAGGUAAUUACGGAUAAUAUUACUGAAACGUAUAUCUAGAAGGAGGAUUUAGCAGUAAGCAGAAAAUAGAGUGUUCUGCUGAAACCGGCCCUGAAGCGCGCACACACCGCCCGUCACUCUCCCCAAGCGUAUCUUCAUAACCUAACUUAUAAACCUUUCACCAGCAAAGGGGAGGCAAGUCGUAA